AUCUAUCUAUCUAUUCUGGUGGUAAGUAACGAUGCAGUCUAUGAUAGAAGUGGGCUAUUCUGGAAGGGGUAUGGCAGUUUUUAUUAAA